rnacentral:rRNA from 1 species
UGGCAGACGGCUGAGUAAUACAUGGGAAUCUACCUCAAACUCGAGAAUAGCCCAUCGAAAGGUGGUGUAAUACUCGAUAGUUCCGUUUACGGUAAAGCUCCGGCGGUUUGAGAUGAGCCCAUGUCCUAUCAGGUUGUUGGUAGGGUAAUUGCCUACCAAGCCUAUGACGGGUAGCUGGUUUGAGAGGAUGAUCAGCCAGACUGGGACUGCGAUACGGCCCAGACUCCUACGGGAGGCAGCAACUAGGAAUCAUGCGCAAUGGACGAAAGUCUGACGCUGCGACGUCGCGUGAGGGAUGAAGGUCUUCGGAUCGUAAACCUCUUUUAUCUGGGAACAAGUUCUGAGUGUACCAGAUGAAUAAGUGCCUGCCAACCACGUGCCAGAAGCAUCGGUAAUGCGUGGGGCACGAGCGUUAUCCGGAUUUACUGGGCGUAAAGAGAUGCGUAGGCGCCUUUUUAAGUCACUUGUAAAAUCUCCCCGCUCAACGGGGAAACUGCAAGUGGUACUGAAUUGGUUGAGUCAAGUAGAGGAGAGGGGAAUUCCUGGUGGAGCGGUUAAAUGCGUUGAUAUCAGGAGGAAUACCAAGUGCGAAGGCACCUCUCUGGACUUGUACUGACGCUAAGGCUCGAAAGUGUGGGGAGCAAAACGGAUUAGAUACCCGUGUAGUCCACACUGUAAACGAUCCCUGCUAGAUGUUUG